rnacentral:rRNA from 1 species
CCUACGGGAGGCAGCAGUGGGGAAUAUUGCACAAUGGGGGGAACCCUGAUGCAGCGACGCCGCGUGAGUGCAGAAGUAUUUCGGUAUGUAAAGCUCUAUCAGCAGGGCAGAAAAUGACGGUACCUGACUCAGAAGCCCCUGCUAACUACGUGCCAGCAGCCGCGGUAAUACGUAGGGGGCAAGCGUUAUCCGGAUGUACUGGGUGUAAAGGGAGCGUAGACGGUGAUGCAAGUCUGAAGUGAAAGCCCAUGGCUCAACCAUGGGACUGCUUUGGAAACUGUGAAUCUGGAGUGCAGGAGAGGUAAGCGGAAUUCCUGGUGUAGCGGUGAAAUGCGUAGAUAUGAGGAGGAACACCAGUGGCGAAGGCGGCUUACUGGACUGUAACUGACGUUGAGGCUCGAAGGCGUGGGGAGCAAACAGGAUUAGAUACCCUAGUAGUC